rnacentral:rRNA from 1 species
GAUGAACGCUAGCGGCAGGCUUAACACAUGCAAGUCGAGGGGUAGAAAUAGCUUGCUAUUUUGAGACCGGCGCACGGGUGCGUAACGCGUAUGCAAUCUGCCUUGUACUGGGGAAUAGCCCGGAGAAAUCCGGAUUAAUGCCCCAUGGUAUUUUUGUGUGGCAUCACACGAUUAUUAAAGAUUUAUCGGUACAAGAUGAGCAUGCCGUCCCAUUAGUUAGUUGGUGUGGUAACGGCACACCAAGACGAUGAUGGGUAGGGGUCCUGAGAGGGAGACCCCCCACGCUGGUACUGAGACACGGACCAGACGCCUACGGGAGGCAGCAGUGAGGAAUAUUGGUCAAUGGGCGCAAGCCUGAACCAGCCAUGCCGCGUGCAGGAUGACGGCCCUAUGGGUUGUAAACUGCUUUUAUACGGGAAGAAACACCUCUUCGUGAAGAGGCUUGACGGUACCGUAAGAAUAAGGAUCGGCUAACUCCGUGCCAGCCGCCGCGGUAAGAC